rnacentral:rRNA from 6 species
UUGCUCUUGACCUCGGAUCAGGUA